rnacentral:rRNA from 1 species
AUGGAUCCGGGUGGGAUGCUGCUGGAGGACUUCGGGCUGUGGGUGGACCUGGUGCGGCGCAUCCGCGAGGUGCUGGCCAACUACCCGGAGGGCACCACCGCGCUGCGGGACGCCGGGAGCUCAUCCAGAACGCCGACGAUGCCGGGGCCUCAUGCAGAGCGAGUACUGGGCGAGGAGAUGAACCUAGGCGAGCAAAAUUGA